AGGGCACUGGGCCAGGAAGGAGGCAGAAGCCUGCAGGAGAGGCCUGUGGAGGGGCUUCGGGCCUCAGACAAGCCCCUCUCUGGUGUCCUUGGAGCCCAGGAUACCUGGCUGGUGAUAUAAAUGCUGUUUUCACCAGAAGCCACAGUUCUGGGAUCUCAGAAGUGAUGGAUGAUCCUAGGCCCAACUCAGAGAUUGGCCCAUGCUGGCUAACUAGUAUGGUAGCUGGCUGGACAUUCCCUGGGUAAUUUUCUUAAAAUGCCC
rnacentral:lncRNA from 1 species